rnacentral:rRNA from 1 species
CUCGAUGAGUAGGGCGGGACACGUGGUAUCCUGUCUGAAUAUGGGGGGACCAUCCUCCAAGGCUAAAUACUCCUGACUGACCGAUAGUGAACCAGUACCGUGAGGGAAAGGCGAAAAGAACCCCGGCGAGGGGAGUGAAAAAGAACCUGAAACCGUGUACGUACAAGCAGUGGGAGCACGCUUAGGCGUGUGACUGCGUACCUUUUGUAUAAUGGGUCAGCGACUUAUAUUCUGUAGCAAGGUUAACCGAAUAGGGGAGCCGAAGGGAAACCGAGUCUUAACUGGGCGUUAAGUUGCAGGGUAUAGACCCGAAACCCGGUGAUCUAGCCAUGGGCAGGUUGAAGGUUGGGUAACACUAACUGGAGGACCGAACCGACUAAUGUUGAAAAAUUAGCGGAUGACUUGUGGCUGGGGGUGAAAGGCCAAUCAAACCGGGAGAUAGCUGGUUCUCCCCGAAAGCUAUUUAGGUAGCGCCUCGUGAAUUCAUCUCCGGGGGUAGAGCACUGUUUCGGCAAGGGGGUCAUCCCGACUUACCAACCCGAUGCAAACUGCGAAUACCGGAGAAUGUUAUCACGGGAGACACACGGCGGGUGCUAACGUCCGUCGUGAAGAGGGAAACAACCCAGACCGCCAGCUAAGGUCCCAAAGUCAUGGUUAAGUGGGAAACGAUGUGGGAAGGCCCAGACAGCCAGGAUGUUGGCUUAGAAGCAGCCAUCAUUUAAAGAAAGCGUAAUAGCUCACUGGUCGAGUCGGCCUGCGCGGAAGAUGUAACGGGGCUAAACCAUGCACCGAAGCUGCGGCAGCGACGCUGAUGCGUUGUUGGGUAGGGGAGCGUUCUGUAAGCCUGUGAAGGUGUGCUGUGAGGCAUGCUGGAGG